rnacentral:rRNA from 1 species
AUUGAACGCUGGCGGCAUGCCUUACACAUGCAAGUCGAACGGCAGCACGGGUGCUUGCACCUGGUGGCGAGUGGCGAACGGGUGAGUAAUAUAUCGGAACGUACCUUAUUGUGGGGGAUAACGCAGCGAAAGCUGUGCUAAUGCCGCAUAAUCCCUAAGGGGGAAAGCGGGGGACCGUAAGGCCUCGCGCAAUUAAAGCGGCCGAUACCUGAUUAGCUAGUUGGUGAGGCAAAGGCUCACCAAGGGAACGAUCAGUAGCUGGUCUGAGAGGACGAUCAGCCACACUGGGACUGAGACACGGCCCAGACUCCUACGGGAGGCAGCAGUGGAGAAUUUUGGACAAUGGGGGCAACCCUGAUCCAGCAAUGCCGCGUGAGUGAAGAAGGCCUUCGGGUUGUAAAGCUCUUUUGUCAGGGAAGAAACAGCAGCUCUAACACAGUUUGCGAAUGACGGUACCUGAAGAAUAAGCACCGGCUAACUACGUGCCAGCAGCCGCGGUAA